CGGUCGUGGAACUGUAUGCGUUGUUAUGUAAGUAGCUCGAUGUGUCUGUUCAGGUCUAACUGUUGGCGUGUAAGUGUGUGUGUGUGUGUGUUUCGGCUGCAGCUUGUCCACCUGGAGCGGGGCGUCAGCGUCGCCCUGCCCGGCUGUGGCGCUCUCAGAGCAGGCAGAGGUGUCUGGAUGCUUCCGUGCUUUUCCCUCUCAGCUGCAGUUAUUUUUUUUUUCUGGAUGCUUUAAAUUAAAUUGAAAACAGCAGCAAAAAACACUUUAAGUGUCCUAUUUAUAGACGAAUCCACACAUUUAACCAAUGAAUUUCAACGUUUAUUCACGUAUUUCUCAGCCGGACUUUUUCCUCCUUACCAUGAAGUUGUUGUUAUUCUAGUUUACUGUUAACUUCUGACCCGUGCCUUUAUUUCAGGACAUGUUUUAUCCUUAAAGCCGAGAGAAACUUUAAACAAAAUGAAUUACAAACAAAGGGAAAGGAAUAACAACUUUAUAUAUAUAUAUAAAACAUCCUAUUUUGAAAUAUUACAUCUGUUCAAAAUCGAUCCUUCCUGCAGGAAAGAAUUCUUCCUGUUACUUUUUCCUGCGUUUUCCUUUAAUGUUAAUAUUUUUUUUUCUUUUAUUUAGGUACCAAAAGGCUCAAACUAAGAUUUUCUGAUAUGCUUUCUAAAGUUCACGCAGUCAAGUUUAAAAUCAUACUUUUACUAGAUACCAACGUCAUUUAUUCCACUGGACUAUUUUAAGAAUGCCCGUCUUUUUUUCAGGUUCAUUUCUCAUUUUCUCUUAAUGUAUAAAAAUGUUGAAAGAACUUCUUUAGGACUGUAAAUUAAAAUUCAUUCACUUAAGUCAGAACUAAACUUCACACAGUUUGUAACUGUUUUUUCCCCCCUAAUUAUCUUAACCCCUUAUUUUAUCAGGAAUUUAGGACUUCCUUUUACGUUUUACAUUGUACUAAAACAAACAUGGACGCAUAUUUGAACUUUCUUUAUUCUUUUCUUAUUUGAUAUCGUUUAAAGGCCACCCUUUUUUAAAAAACAUUUAUUUAAUUCUGUCAGUGAGAGUCAGAGCGUGGAUCUUUGGUCCUGUUCAGUAGUGUAGAUCUGGUGUUAACGUCGGGUUGAUUUUCUUCAAACCACUUGUCUGUCUGUAGGUCCAAACCAAACUUCCUAUGGAGAAGAUAGAUCACCAGGAGUAGAUUUCAGUUUGUCAGAUUUCUUGUUUAACUUCUCAAACUCUUUUUUUUUUUUUAGUAUUCUGUAUUGGUUUCAUAGAGCGGUUGGAUUCAGCAGUACGUUAGUUUUAGCUGAUGAAAAGAAAACAGCUUUGGGGCAAAUAUGUAGACUAACCUGAAAAUAAUGACAGAAAAAAAUGCAAUUGUUCAGAACAGUGAUCUUGCUGCAAUUGGUCAGGUCGCUUUUUGCGUUUGCGCACAGUUUGCACUAAAAUGAAUACAGGAGAGGAAAACAGCGAUGAAACGGUGAAUCGAUUAAAGAUCUGCGUUUUUUUUUUUUUUUUACACCUCCUCCUUUAAAAUGGUUCUAGAGGAGAUAUGUCUGCUCCUCCUUGUGAUCGUGGUUUGAUAGGAAGGCCGACGUCACCGCUGUAUAAUCCUGGAGUCAACCAAUGAUGUCACCGUUGCUAGGCUGUGGCGAGGUUCUGCCCCCAGUUGCGGGUUAAAACCCCAAUAGGUGUAGCAGCUAGUUUAGUUAUGUCUGGGUUUGAACAUGUUACAUUUAUUAUCGUGUCGUCCAAAAUCCAUGGACCUGUAAAAUCCACUCCAUAAGGAGACAGCAGUUGUCUGGUCUGAGAAGUGACUUGGACUCGAGACCAAGUGGAUUCAAACCCAGAUUUUUCUCUGUUUCCUCUGGAGCUUUCUCUUCAUCAAAUACAAAUCAUCUCCAAAUUCAACCAAUACAUCUCUUCCGUUGGGGGAGGCUUUUUAUUCUUCUUCUUAUUGUGAGGUUUCUUUCUAGAAAAAACCUCUAAAAGAAUUGUCGUUUAUGUAAAGAUGUGUUGUUUAAAGUCCUCCGUCCAGCUGUAAGUCAAAGCUCCAUCUUGUGAAGAGUCUGAAGGGGGAGGUAGGGGAUAUGGUCAGACCAGUCUGGUGAUAAAUGGUCUGGACUUAAUUAGCUCAAAUCACUGUACACUGCAGCUUUUGGCAUCAGCAAAGCUGUCGGGUGGGUAGCAAAUAACAUACCGAGUCUGGAUUUGAUCCCACAACCCUCUGGGUGUAGGACAACAACCUACUGAGCUACAGCCUGUUUGAUAUCAGUCUGUUCAACAGUUUUCAGAGCAGCUCUGUUUAAAAUGUUCACUGAAAAAAGGAAAAAAAAAAUGACUGCAUACCUUAAGGUCAUGAUAGGAGUGCGUGUGCGUGGGUGUUUGUCACCUCUGUUGUUGUCAUGACUUGGGGGCAGUGGUGGCCUAGUGGUUUAAAAAGGGUAUUUGUGUCUUUCAAGUUGCAAUUUCGAGGUCACCUAAGGUGAUGGGGCGUAUGGACGGCAUAUUUUAUUGUGUGAAAUGGUGUGCUGUGCAUCAAUAACAAUAAUUGACUUUUUAAUCUGGUAAUCUUAAUUACAUUCACACUAAUUAAUCAAUCGCAAUGUAUUGCACUUUAUACUGCAAAGCCAGUUCAGUGGCUUAGCGAGGCAUGUUGAGUCUCAAGCCUGUACUCCAAAAGUGGCUCUCUUUUAACCUGGCUAGAUCACCAUGGUAACUUAUGGCCUGUUCAUAAUGUGCUCCUGACCAGAUUAGGUUCAGAGUUUCGCCUUAAAAUCGUACACGAAAGCACCAGCAUUUUACUGUGGAACUCACUACUCAUUGUGACGUGAGAACCAGGUUGAGAUGUCUAAAUCAAUAAAGAAAGUAGGAGUCGUGGAAGGGUUUUAUUUACUUAACACAAUACACUAGAAGCUGUGUUUUAGCAAAAAUAAUUCGGGCAGCACUUCGACAGGAAAGGUUUCUUUAAGGUUGCACUGAUCCGCUGGUUUUUCCUAUUGAAAUUCUCUAUGAGCAAUAUGAAAUAUUAGUUAGGCCUACCUAGUGCUUAUUUGUCACAGAUAAUAAGUAAAGUUAAUUAUUUCACUGACAUGUAGCCAUCUAUAAACGGAUUAAUGUUUGAUCUAUUUGUUAUUGUACUGAUACGGUAGAUUUGCUGGUUCAUCCGGACACAGGAAAAAAAAAAAAGCCA